rnacentral:rRNA from 1 species
AAGUGGCGCAAGGGUGAGUAACACGUGAAUAAUCUGCCUACGAAUUCGGGAUAACUCGACGAAAGUUGCGCUAAUACCGGAUAAGACCACACUUUUUAUGGAGCGUGGCCAAAGGAGUCUCAAACUCCGUUUGUAGAUGAGUUCGCGGACCAUUAGCUUGUUGGCGGGAUAACAGCCCACCAAGGCGACGAUGGUUAGCCGGCCUGAGAGGGUGAUCGGCCACACUGGAACUGAGACACGGUCCAGACUCC